rnacentral:rRNA from 1 species
CCUACGGGUGGCAGCAGUGGGGAAUAUUGGGCAAUGGGCGAAAGCCUGACCCAGCAACGCCGCGUGAAGGAAGCAGGCUUUCGGGUUGUAAACUUCUUUUUACAGGGACGAGCAGAAGACGGUACCUGUCGAAUAAGCCACGGCUACCUACGUGCCAGCAGCCGCGUUAAUACGAAGGUGGCAAGCGUUGUCCGGAUUUACUGGUUGUAAAGGGCGUGUAGCCGGGCUGACAAGUCAGAUGUGAAAUCCGGGGGCUCAACCCCCGAACUGCAUUUAAAACUGUUGGUCUUGAGUAUCUGAGAGGCAGGCGGAAUUGCUGGGGUAGCGGUGAAAUGCGUAGAUAUUAGGAGGAACACCAGUGGUGAAGGCGGCCUGCUGGACGAAAACUGACGGUGAGGCGCGAAAGCGUGGGGAGCAAACAGGAUUAGAUACCCGGGUAGUC